rnacentral:ncRNA from 1 species
UAUCUUCAGGGCAGGGUGAAAGUCCCUACCGGCGGUAUAGCCCGCGAGCAAUUUUGCAGAUUCGGUGUAACUCCGAAGCCGACAGUAAAGUCUGGAUGAAAGAAGGUA